rnacentral:lncRNA from 1 species
AAGCAGGUAGCCAACAAGAGAAAUAUAAUUUAAAGGGUGUGUUUAAAUCUUUACUUAUCAACAGUUACCAAAUAGCACUAGCUCAGUGCUGGGGAGAUCAACAUGGAAGAGGUAUGGCUCUGGCCCCUAAUACGCUUACUGACUGAAGCACAAGGAACAAAAUGCUAGGAUAAGAUCUAAAUGCUACAUUAUGUCAGGAUAUAGGAACACAGAGAAUAGGAGACCUGUAAAAACAGAGGAGUCGAGAAUGGCUCCACUGAAGAGGUGAGACAUGACAAGAGAGAGAAUUAGAGGAGACUGUGCCAGGCAGAUGCAUGGGA